AGUGAACGCUGGCGGUAGGCCUAACACAUGCAAGUCGAACGGCAGCACAGUAAGAGCUUGCUCUUACGGGUGGCGAGUGGCGGACGGGUGAGGAAUACAUCGGAAUCUACUUUUUCGUGGGGGAUAACGUAGGGAAACUUACGCUAAUACCGCAUACGACCUACGGGUGAAAGCAGGGGAUCUUCGGACCUUGCGCGAUUGAAUGAGCCGAUGUCGGAUUAGCUAGUUGGCGGGGUAAAGGCCCAACAAGGCAACGAUCCGUAGCUGGUCUGAGAGGAUGAUCAGCCACACUGGAAGUGAGACACGGUCCAGACUCCUACGGGAGGCAGCAGUGGGGAAUAUUGGACAAUGGGCGCAAGCCUGAUCCAGCCAUACCGCGUGGGUGAAGAAGGCCUUCGGGUUGUAAAGCCCUUUUGUUGGGAAAGAAAAGCAGCAGGUUAAUACCCCGCUGUUCUGACGGUACCCAAAGAAUAAGCACCGGCUAACUUCGUG
rnacentral:rRNA from 1 species